rnacentral:rRNA from 1 species
UGGGGAAUUUUGGACAAUGGGGGAAACCCUGAUCCAGCCAUCCCGCGUGUGCGAUGAAGGCCUUCGGGUUGUAAAGCACUUUUGGCAGGAAAGAAACGUCGCGGGUUAAUACCCCGCGAAACUGACGGUACCUGCAGAAUAAGCACCGGCUAACUACGUGCCAGCAGCCGCGGUAAUACGUAGGGUGCAAGCGUUAAUCGGAAUUACUGGGCGUAAAGCGUGCGCAGGCGGUUCGGAAAGAAAGAUGUGAAAUCCCAGAGCUUAACUUUGGAACUGCGUUUUUAACUACCGGGCUAGAGUGUGUCAGAGGGAGGUGGAAUUCCGCGUGUAGCAGUGAAAUGCGUAGAUAUGCAGAGGAACACCGAUGGCGAAGGCAGCCUCCUGGGAUAACACUGACGCUCAUGCACGAAAGCGUGGGGAGCAAACAGGAUUAGAUACCCUGGUAGUCCACGCCCUAAACGAUGUCAACUAGCUGUUGGGGGCCUUCGGGCCUUGGUAGCGCAGCUAACGCGUGAAGUUGACCACCUGGGGAGUACGGUCGCAAGAUUAAAACUCAAUGAAUUGACGGGGUCAUAGUGUUUCCUG